AUCACGUGAUGAUCUAAACGGAAUCAAUAUGGCGACGACCGUGCCGAAACAGCAUUCUCCAGAAUAACAUAUGCUGAAUGAAUGCCAAAGGAAAGAACCUUUUACAGACUUAAGCGACCACGCUUUCGAUUUGUCUGGAAGGAGGCGACUGCCAGGUCGGAAGUAGGUUGGCCACGUCGCCAUGGAAAGAAAUUAUGUACAGAAAGGGGCGCUUAAGGUGCGUUGGGAAAAUGCACGAACAAACUACAGCAAAAUGCUACCAACCAAACGAAUCGGCGUUGAGUAGCAACGUGCUGGACAGUAUACUUUUUAAUUCUGAUUGAAAGUCUUGAUAAUUAGGUUGGCCUAUUACUUAUAUAUAUCUUGCAUGUUAUAUUUAAAAUUUGAUUUUAAAAUCAAUUUGAUCGAUCUUUAUUUUAUUUGAACAUAUAAAUUUGAGGUUUUGUUUAAUAAAAAGCUAUUGGUGUAAUGUAUAGCUUGCAUGUCAAACGAAUAUUUGAUGCGUGCAUAUGCUUUAUCUAUGACAUAUACCUGUUUAUUAAGGAGUAAACAAUACUUAAGGGCUGUUUAUUAAUUUGACUGUUCAUAGCGCUCGCCUGAUUUUAAGCAACUCUGUACAAAACAUUCUGGUGUUUUCCGGUUGCUCUUUCCAAUGUUUUUUUGCAAGGAGAUAUGAACAAAGCCUAGUUAAAUAUAACCGUACUACUACCAAAAGUAUUUGUUAGAAAUAUGCAACACUAUGUAUCAAUUCGUCACCAGGAAACAAAGACUUAUUUGAAUUUUGACAUGUUUGCUCUUUUUUAAACUUGUUGUAAAGUGUAUAAAUACCUAGAACAGCGACUGAUGAGAACACGUGUAUUUUUUAAAUGUUUAAUAAAGUACCUUGUUUUUCGUA